rnacentral:tRNA from 1 species
GAUAUGCUUAUUUAGUUUAAUUUUUUUUUUGAAUAAUAUUUUGAAAAGAUAUAGG